rnacentral:rRNA from 1 species
CGUGUAGGCGGUACGUUAAGUCGAGUGUGAAAGCCCUGGGCUCAACCCAGGACGUGCGCUCGAAACUGGCGAACUUGAGUACGGGAGAGGGUAGCGGAAUUCCCGGUGUAGAGGUGAAAUUCGUAGAUAUCGGGAGGAACACCAGUGGCGAAGGCGGCUACCUGGACCGAUACUGACGCUGAGACGCGAAAGCGUGGGUAGCAAACAGGAUUAGAUACCCUGGUAGUCC